AUUGAACGCUGGCGGCAGGCCUAACACAUGCAAGUCGAACGGUAACAGGAAGCAGCUUGCUGCUUCGCUGACGAGUGGCGGACGGGUGAGUAAUGUCUGGGAAGCUGCCUGAUGGAGGGGGAUAACUACUGGAAACGGUAGCUAAUACCGCAUAAUGUCGCAAGACCAAAGAGGGGGACCUUCGGGCCUCUUGCCAUCGGAUGUGCCCAGAUGGGAUUAGCUUGUUGGUGGGGUAACGGCUCACCAAGGCGACGAUCCCUAGCUGGUCUGAGAGGAUGACCAGCCACACUGGGACUGAGACACGGUCCAGACUCCUACGGGAGGCAGCAGUGGGGAAUAUUGCACAAAGGGCGCAAGCCUGAUGCAGCCAUGCCGCGUGUAUGAAGAAGGCCUUCGGGUUGUAAAGUACUUUCAGCGGGGAGGAAGGGAGGAAAGUUAAUACCUUUGCUUAUUGACGUUACCCGCAGAAGAAGCACCGGCUAACUCCGUG
rnacentral:rRNA from 1 species